rnacentral:lncRNA from 1 species
GACUUCUACAUAACUUCUUCAUUGAUUUCCAAGUUUUCCUUCCUUCUUCAUUGUUCAAUGUCUGACCUCUAGUUAGAAAAAUGACCUUCCUUGAGAGGGAGAACCAUUAGUUAUCAAAGAUUCACAUAGUUCUGUUGUAAUUAAACUUCUAUAUUAAAAGUGGUAAGAAAAGUAACUAAAGACCAACAUUAAAUCUGUUUUUAAAAAAAGCAAGAAGCAAUGGCUGGCUGAUGGUUAAAUGUUUAUUUUAUCAAAGAUUGUUAAAAUAAUAUUAAUAGCUUUAGACUUUAGAGGAAUAAAUGUUUUUGACUAAAAAACAUUUCAAUAGAAUACUUCAUUCCUGUGUGGUUUUGAAUGAGGUACCAUUAUAUCACAUACUGAGAAUGGUUCUGUGCCCUGAUUCUUAAUUAAUUCCGAUCAGUCUUACUCUUUUACUGGAGAAGUUUGCCAGUUUAACCAGUAUGCUGUGAUAAUUUAAUAUGUUUCACAGAUAACUGAGGAGACAUGAGACCUGUCAUCCUGUCCAUGAACGUAUGU